CAUGGCGAAGUCUGAUGGGAGCAACGCCGCGUGAACGAUGAAGGUCUUCGGAUUGUAAAGUUCUGUUGUCAGGGACGAACACGUGCCGUUCGAAUAGGGCGGUACCUUGACGGUACCUGACGAGAAAGCCACGGCUAACUACGUGCCAGCAGCCGCGGUAAUACGUAGGUGGCAAGCGUUGUCCGGAUUUAUUGGGCGUAAAGCGCGCGCAGGCGGCUAUGUAAGUCUGGUGUUAAAGCCCGGAGCUCAACUCCGGUUCGCAUCGGAAACUGUGUAGCUUGAGUGCAGAAGAGGAAAGCGGUAUUCCACGUGUAGCGGUGAAAUGCGUAGAGAUGUGGAGGAACACCAGUGGCGAAGGCGGCUUUCUGGUCUGUAACUGACGCUGAGGCGCGAAAGCGUGGGGAGCAAACAGGAUUAGAUACCCGGGGUAGUCCACGC
rnacentral:rRNA from 1 species